rnacentral:tRNA from 1 species
GGCUUCAUGGUCUAGUGGUAUGAUUCCUGCUUUGGGUUCUUUAUUCAAAUAUGCAGGAGGCCCCGCGUUCGAAUCGCGGUGGAGCCC